UGGGCUUUGGCGAGAGAAUAUGAUGUUGACAUUGAGAAGUAUCCAAUUUUGUCAUGCUAAUAAUAAACAAGUAAUCAUGCGAUGUUGCUCGUACAAUUAGGGAUUAGUAGUACUCGUGAUGUUUGCAAAUUUGCCAAAUUGGACUCGCUCUGGCGGCUCGUCCAAUUUUGGCAAAAUUUCCAAACAUCACUCAUACUAUUAAUCCCUAAUUGUACUCGCCAUCGCAU
rnacentral:lncRNA from 1 species